rnacentral:rRNA from 1 species
UACGUAGGGUGCGAGCCUUAAUCGGAAUUACUGGGCGUAAAGAGUGCGCAGGCGGUUCUAUAAGACAGAUGUGAAAUCCCCGGGCUCAACCCGGGAAUGGCCUUGGUGACUGUAGAGCUAGAGUACGGUAGAGGGGGAGGGAAUUCCGCGUGUAGCAGUGAAAUGCGUAGAUAUGCGGAGGAACACCGAUGGCGAAGGCAAUACCCUGGACCUGUACUGACGCUCAUGCACGGAAGCGUGGGGAGCAAACAGGAUUAGAUACCCCCGUAGUCC